rnacentral:lncRNA from 1 species
GCUAUAUCUUUAUUCACCACAUGUUAUGUGUUUUGCUUGGAGCGUAUUGUAUCGUAGGAGUCUUUUAUUUUUGUUGUGUCACAAUCAUCCUUGCUGCACACCUAGAGAGAGAGACAUGCACUCACCGUGAUUUUGUCGAGCUUCACUUAUAUCCUUUGGUAGACAAUUCAGCUCACAUGUGCUUCACUUAUAUCUUUUGAGCUAGUUGAUUUUGCUCUAUGUGCUUUACUUAUAUAUUUUAGAUCACGGCGGUGCGUGGCUUGGUAGUUGAUCUAUGCUAUGAAAUUAGUCUCAAAAAGGGGUAGUUAUCCAAAGGGAUACGAAAACUUCCACCUUCAUGUGCAUUGAAUAGUUAGAGAAGUUUGAUUCAUAUCAACUAGUUUUAAGUUGUGGUUGUGGUAAUAUUGAAGUUAUAUUAGUAAGGUGUUGUGGAUCUAGAAAUACUUGUGUUGAAGUUAGUGAUUCCCGUAGCAUGCACGUAUGGUGAACCGCUAUGUGAUGAAGUCUGAGCAUGAUUAGUCUAUUGAUUGUCAUCCUUUGUGUGGCGGUCGGGGUCGCGCGAUGAUUUAUACCUACCAACCCUUCCCCUAGGAGUAUGCAUUGAAUGCUUUGUUUCGAUUACUAAUAAAACUUUUGCAACAAGUAUAUGAGUUCUUCAUGACUAAUGUUGAGUCCAUGGUUUAGAUCCACUUUCACCAUCCACCAUCACUAUCAUCUUUAGUGCCGUGCAACCUUCACCGGUGCACAAAACCCACCAUUAGCCUCCCUCAAAACAGCCACCAUACCUACCUAC